rnacentral:lncRNA from 1 species
UACUCAGUGAUGUGUCAACUGUCCAUUGGUUGCACGUUGCCCAGUAAUGAGCUGUAACUCCCCACAACUUUUCAGUUAUUUGAAGAGUGGACAUUUAAUUGACGUGGCUUUGACCGUUGACCUUUUGAUUCGUAGAGUGGCAUGAUGAGGCAGCUAUAGACUCUACGAUUUCCUUUGUUGACUCAACGAUCAACUUCUAAG